rnacentral:lncRNA from 1 species
UUGGCGAUUCGAGUUUUUUAAUAUUAUUUGUUUUAUUAGGAUUAAUGUCUAUUUCUGGAGUUACUUUCUUUUUAUCUUUUGUAAUUCUUUCUAUUUGAUUUUUGAUUGUACUUGUUCUAUCAGUCAAAUCCUUCAUUUUUGUUUCUAUCAGUGAAGAAUUUGGCCAAUUUCCAGAUUCAAUUUGACUAAAUGAUUCGUUAAUUAUUUGAUUACUAAUUAGAUAAUCUUUUUCUUUUUUUGUUUCAUUGGAUUCAGAUAUUUCUUUGAAUCUAAAUAAUACAAUUGGAUUUACUUUUGAAAGUUCUUUUUUUAUUUUUUUUAUAAAUCCAAUACUUUUGAUAAACCAUUUUUUGGUUUCUUUUGAAACUCUUCUAAAUAAUUUUGUUUUUCCUUUGAAAAUUUUUAGAGUUAGAAAAUAUUUCUUUUUGAAUUUUCCAAUUUUUUUUUCGAGUUCCUUAAAAAUGGGCUCAAAAAAGGAAGGGCGCUUUCGGGGAGAACCAAAGGGAAGUUCAGCUUCCAUUCCCCAAACUGUUAAAAAACAAAAAUCAUCUUUUUGUUUUUGCUUUUUCAUUAGCUCUCCGCGGGAGGGGUACAGUUUAGAUAUAUGCCAAGGUUUCAAACAAAAAGGAAAUAAAACUUUGAUCUGAAUCCGUUUCUAUCAGUGAAGAAUUUGGCCAAUUUCCAGAUUCAAUUUGACUAAAUGAUUCGUUAAUUAUUUGAUUACUAAUUAGAUAAUCUUUUUCUUUUUUUGUUUCAUUGGAUUCAGAUAUUUCUUUGAAUCUAAAUAAUACAAUUGGAUUUACUUUUGAAAGUUCUUUUUUUAUUUUUUUUAUAAAUCCAAUACUUUUGAUAAACCAUUUUUUGGUUUCUUUUGAAACUCUUCUAAAUAAUUUUGUUUUUCCUUUGAAAAUUUUUAGAGUUAGAAAAUAUUUCUUUUUGAAUUUUCCAAUUUUUUUUUCGAGUUCCUUAAAAAUGGGCUCAAAAAAGGAAGGGCGCUUUCGGGGAGAACCAAAGGGAAGUUCAGCUUCCAUUCCCCAAACUGUUAAAAAACAAAAAUCAUCUUUUUGUUUUUGCUUUUUCAUUAGCUCUCCGCGGGAGGGGUACAGUUUAGAUAUAUGCCAAG